ACGUCUAUAUAACGAAAAGAAAUGACUUUUCACUUACCUGUCAGACAUAUAGACGUCAGUUUCAAGGGACAUCGACGUUUAUAGACGUCGCCCCCCCCCUAAUAGACAUCUAUAGGCUUGACUCGUUUAUGCAAUUGCCCCCGGUCAAUAAUUUACGUCGCAGCCCGACUAGCCAUCUCAUAUGCUUAACACAUGAUAUUUGAUUGCUUUCAUAAAGCACAUGACUAUCUUCCAAUCUAGCCUUAGUGGAUGCUUUGCUACACACCCCUUUACUGGGACUGUCUUUGGCAAAGCCCGGUGAUUGUAUAAUGGAUACAGCUCAUUGAGAAGAAGGCUUUCCCUCUUUCCUGUCCGACCAAGUUUGAACUUCGAUCGCUGGAAACUCAUGCUUUCAGGCUUGUUUGAAACUCUUGAUCUUCUCUCUAAUCCCCAUGCCAUGAUAGGAAAAAUGGACCUAAAUAGUAAGAAAACCCUGGAAC
rnacentral:lncRNA from 1 species